GUACACUCCUGCGGGAGGCAGCAGUGGGGAAUAUUGCACAAUGGGCGCAAGCCUGAUGCAGCCAUGCCGCGUGUAUGAAGAAGGCCUUCGGGUUGUAAAGUACUUUCAGCGGGGAGGAAGGCAAUACGGUUAAUAACCGUGUUGAUUGACGUUACCCGCAGAAGAAGCACCGGCUAACUCCGUGCCAGCAGCCGCGGUAAUACGGAGGGUGCAAGCGUUAAUCGGAAUUACUGGGCGUAAAGCGCACGCAGGCGGUCUGUCAAGUCGGAUGUGAAAUCCCCGGGCUCAACCUGGGAACUGCAUUCGAAACUGGCAGGCUUGAGUCUUGUAGAGGGGGGUAGAAUUCCAGGUGUAGCGGUGAAAUGCGUAGAGAUCUGGAGGAAUACCGGUGGCGAAGGCGGCCCCCUGGACAAAGACUGACGCUCAGGUGCGAAAGCGUGGGGAGCAAACAGGAUUAGAAACCCCUGUAGUCCCAUG
rnacentral:rRNA from 1 species